rnacentral:rRNA from 1 species
CACGUAGGGCGCAAGCGUUGUCCGGAAUCACUGGGCGUAGAGGGUGCGUAGGCGGGUCUUUAAGUCAGGGGUGAAAUCCUGGAGCUCAACUCCAGAACUGCCUUUGAUACUGAAGAUCUUGAGUUCGGGAGAGGUGAGUGGAACUGCGAGUGUAGAGGUGAAAUUCGUAGAUAUUCGCAAGAACACCAGUGGCGAAGGCGGCUCACUGGCCCGAUACUGACGCUGAGGCACGAAAGCGUGGGGAGCAAACAGG